GGUGAUUAGCUCAGCUGGGAGAGCACCUCCCUUACAAGGAGGGGGUCGGCGGUUCGAUCCCGUCAUCACCA
rnacentral:tRNA from 1 species